rnacentral:ncRNA from 12 species
GGGUGUUCGCUGCGAUAUGAGCGGGCAGGUUCACAUGUGUUGGUCGGGCCGCCAGCA